UACAGGGGGGGCAAGCGUUGUUCGGAAUUACUGGGCGUAAAGGGCUCGUAGGCGGCCGGCUAAGUCCGACGUGAAAUCCCCAGGCUUAACCUGGGAACUGCGUCGGAUACUGGCGGGCUUGAGUCCGGGAGAGGGAUGCGGAAUUCCAGGUGUAGCGGUGAAAUGCGUAGAUAUCUGGAGGAACACCGGUGGCGAAGGCGGCAUCCUGGACCGGCAUUGACGCUGAAUAGCGAAAGCCAGGGGAGCAAACGGG
rnacentral:rRNA from 1 species